GAUGAACGCUGGCGGCGUGCCUAAUACAUGCAAGUCGAGCGAACGGACGAGAAGCUUGCUUUUCUGAUGUUAGCGGCGGACGGGUGAGUAACACGUGGAUAACCUACCUAUAAGACUGGGAUAACUUCGGGAAACCGGAGCUAAUACCGGAUAAUAUUUUGAACCGCAUGGUUCAAAAGUGAAAGACGGUCUUGCUGUCACUUAUAGAUGAAUCCGCGCUGCAUUAGCUGGUUGGUAAGGUAACGGCUUACCAAGGCAACGAUGCAUAGCCGACCUGAGAGGGUGAUCGGCCACACUGGAACUGAGCCACGGUCCAGACUCCUACGGGAGGCAGCAGUAGGGAAUCUUCCGCAAUGGGCGAAAGCCUGACGGAGCAACGCCGCGUGAGUGAUGAAGGUCUUCGGAUCGUAAAACUCUGUUAUUAGGGAAGAACAUAUGUGUAAGUAACUGUGCACAUCUUGACGGUACCUAAUCAGAAAGCCACGGCUAACUACGUG
rnacentral:rRNA from 1 species